rnacentral:lncRNA from 1 species
ACUAAUCCAGCCAUGGGUAGUGUGAAUUACUCAAAAGGUUCCUGGCUACAAAGAUUUGCAAAUGGGAAACCUGUGAGAAAACCCAAGCAGCAAGAGCCUUGGAAGGCAGUAGCUGAUCAAAGCCGAGACAUCAUUGCUUCUGCUCAGUGCAUCUUGGACAGAGAAAAUUUUGUGAGGGGUUAUGUGUUUUUGGAUGAUUAUGACCCAUCAGAGUAUGAUCCAUUCUUCCAGAAGACGUGCACAGACUGCUGGAAGGUGUGAGCAGGUUUGGAGUCCCACUUUGACCAGCAGGAGGUUAACAGAGCAUGUUACUGACGUGCUGCUCUAGGGGAGUGUGUUCUAGUUUUACUAACUCACUCCUACUGCAUUUAAGCCCCAGAGUGUUUGAACAUGGUUUUCACCAGGAACACAGUCUGGAUCUAAGCCCAGUUUUUGAGACACAGUAGCAAUGGCAGGGGGAGGUUUGUUUUCCUCAUUUUAAAUCCAUCAUGGCAGCAUGGAGGGGAUGUCCUGUCUAAGGAAGGUUGGAGAGUUCCCAGGCAUGCUCAGUGUGUGCUGUGUAGAAGGAAAUAAUCUGACAGUUCAGCUGAUCUUUACAGAAGCAUGGUAACACUUUUUCCUUCUCUUUAAAGGAUGAGGAACUCAUCAACUAGCACAAUGACAGAGAGAGCCAAUGAUGUCACCUGUGCUCCAGCUGACCACAGCCAUCAAAGGUACCCUUUACACAAUUAAGUUACAUGCACUGCCAAAGCAAGUGAGAGCAGGCCAGGCAGGUCUUUAGGCAAACUGCAAUAAACUUACUGUCUUAAACAUGUAGUUCUGAAAUGUUGUUACCCCACUGCCAAAGAAAUGUCUGAGAUGCUGCUCGUCUUCUUCCCAGAUCCAGCUCAAUGCUCUACAGGCCAAAACCUGCUAUUUUAGGAGGUUUAACUUGGGCUGAGCUCAGUAAAGACAGUGCUGGUGUUCUCUCCUGGAGACCAAGCAGUAAAUCACUUUUCACAUACAUUGUGGGUGUUUUGAGAAGGCAGGAACUAAGCAGGGGACCAGAGCUCUGGGCUCAGAGCCUGGAAACUGAAUUUUCUCUCUCUUCCAAACUCCCAUUGUACAGACACAAUCUCUCAAGAGUUGCCAAGGUUGAGUUUUAUUUAGGAUUAGAAAUACUGAACCACAGAAAACUGUUAAGUGUAACAGAGGUUGACUGAGUAAUAGGAGGGUGCACAGAUGGCGACUGGGUGGGAAACCGCCAGACUUCAGGAGGAAUUUCUGCACCCGUGGAAAACAAGGGCACAGGCUGCUCAGAACUGCAUGCUGUGCUUCUGCAACAAAGCAGUUUAAAGGAGGAAUAGAAUGGUUACAAUGUAACAAAUAUUUAUAAACAAACCUUUUUUUUUUUUUUUUAACCACCCCUGAUUUGCUGCCAAGAGAAAGUUUUUGCUUUCAUUUCAACCAGUUCAUUUUACAGUUUAUACUGGGGUGACAGCUCCCCAGAACAAACCUUUAAAACUUGUGAUAAACUUUCCUUGAACAAAUCCUAUAAGCUUUUCUUAUUAUUUCAUAUUCCCCUGUACAAUAAAAUAUAUUUUUUUAAAAUCA